UACGGGGGGGGCAAGCGUUGUUCGGAAUUACUGGGCGUAAAGGGCUUGUAGGUGGCCAACUAAGUCAGACGUGAAAUCCCUCAGCUUAACUGGGGAACUGCGUCUGAUACUGGAUGGCUUGAGAUUGGGAGAGGGACGCGGAAUUCCAGGUGUAGCGGUGAAAUGCGUAGAUAUCUGGAGGAACACCGGUGGCGAAGGCGGCGUCCUGGACCAACACUGACACUGAUGAGCGAAAGCCAGGGAGCAAACGGG
rnacentral:rRNA from 1 species